rnacentral:lncRNA from 1 species
CGUUGGUGCAGUCGGUGCCGCGGCACCUGUGACGCUAAAAGGAGCGUUUUCCGAGUACGCCUAGAAAGGGAUGGCAAGAUUUUGUGAACCAGAGGCACCUCCACAUAUGCACCUGCGGCACUUCUGCAGCCUCAACAGCACGGAAAAGUACCUGAUGUGCAUGCUGUGACAAGCUGCUGUAGGUAUGGCUGGACCUGGAGAAGAAGCGUAAGCAGACCAUGCUAUGUUGCUGAUCUGCGCUGAUCUCCACAUCCAAGUUGGUCCCGCGACAGUUGGGCACCAUUGUGCCUUGCUUCAUUGACAAGGUGAUAUAAUAUGGUGCCCUGCUCGCUCUCACCCAAGCAACCCACUCCAGCGGUCUUCUCUCGGCAGACUGGAUGCAUCGAAAUACCGUUAGAAGGUCCAAUAAACAGUGCUUGGGACAUUUA